rnacentral:rRNA from 1 species
UACAGAGGGCUCAAGCGUUAAUCGGAAUCACUGGGCUUAAAGGGUCCGCAGGCGGAUUGGAAAGUAUCUUGUGAAAUACCACGCUCAACCGUGGAACUGCUCGGUAAACUUCCAAUCUUGAACACGGUAGGGGCAUCGGAACUCUAGGUGGAGCGGUGAAAUGCGUAGAUAUCUAGAGGAACGCCAGAGGCGAAGGCGGAUGGCUGGCCGUUGUUGACGCUCAGGGACGAAAGCAUGGGUAGCGAACGGGAUUAGAUACCCGGACGUC